rnacentral:rRNA from 1 species
GCCUAGACCAGCGACGCCGCGUGAGUGAAGAAGGCCUUCGGGUUGUAAAGCUCUUUUAGUGGGGAAGAUAAUGACGGUACCCACAGAAAAAGCCCCGGCUAACUUCGUGCCAGCAGCCGCGGUAAUAC